GGCUGCGCAUGCCGGGAUGAUUAAUGCUUCGAAAUCCUAACACUUCGGUUAUUCCUUCCUGUAUAUAACCUCAUCAUAAGAACUGAAACGUUUCAUCUCAAAUCCAGUAAUCACCGUCAGAGAUUUACAGCAAGCUUCCAACCCUCUCUCUCAAGUGACAGUCUCGCAAGAAGACGCCGAUUAAUUAAUUUUGUGGUCUUCUUCAUCCUGAAAAGACGAACUUCUUAGUCGAUUAGACCGGGACGGCUAUUU
rnacentral:lncRNA from 1 species